CAGUGGAUAUAUUUUUAUAUUAUAUUAUCAUAUUAUCAUCUCAGCAGCAGCUAUCAAGUGGCUACUGUUCCCCUUGCCCCCAAAGCCCGCUGAUUCUUAGGGGCUGGGCCCUAAAAUGUAGGAAUAUUUCUUCUUUUUUUUUUUCAGCCAGGGAAACCAGAGUCAGCCGGAUGAGGCGCCUUAGCCUGGUAUCUACAUUUGACCUUGGAUUUGCUGCCAGGAGGUUCAAAGACCACAGGGAGCGGGGCCAACGGGCCCUGGCAGGGGGCUCUGCCAAGCCAGAGCUCAGAGGGGCAGCCUGGAUUGAGCAGAUAAAACCUCACCGAGCUGUUUGUUGCGUGCACAGAGCAGACCGCCAGGCGCUUUUCAAAAGCCACCGCGCUCCUGUGUGUGGGUGAACUGUCCCUUGCUCCAGCAAGACACACAGAGCAGGAUCAAGGGACUAAAUCCUUGGCUGUGCAUCAGAGGCACCUGGGGAGCUGUUAGAGCCCAACUCCCUCAAUCGAGAUCCUCCACAGAUCAAAUAAAGGAAAACCUCGUGGGUCACACACUGACCCGGGCAACCGUCAUGCCCAUCAGGGUGGAAAUCUCCUGAGAUAAACCUUCAGGGAAUGAACCAGGGGAGGGAUAUUGAAAACAUUUCUGGUGUCAGGGAGAGCACUGAACUUUUAUGUCUAAUGUGCCCCUCCCUUAACGCUAUUUUCGAAGAAGGGGGUUCAUGUAGCCCAGGCUAGCCUAUAAUUCACUACAUAGAUGAUACCUUAAACUCCUGAUCCUCCUGUCUCUACACCUCCAAAAUGCUAAGAUAGGCAAAAGACAGGCAUGCUGUCAUGCCUGAUUUUUUUUUCUUCUGGUGACCUUUUACUUUAUUUUGGUUUGAGGGUGGGUGGGUGGGUGGGCAUAGAGUCCCAUUACAUAGCAGAGGCUGCCUUGGAACUCACUCUGUAGCAUAAUUCCUGAGCCGUCAUGCCUACCUAGCUCAUAUAACCCUUUUAACAUAGGGGCUGAAGCAAGCCCGAAUUCAAAGGAAAUGCUAUUAUUACCCUCAUCAGAGUCAAGAAACGGUUACCUGUGACAUGUUCCUCUUGGGGAAGACUAGGCUCCCCUAGGACCAGAUAGGUGGGGGACUAGGUAUACAUGACCAGUGGCCAACUCCUCCCAAAACUCUGACCUCUUUGACUUCAGCAGACUCUGAACAGAUCUUGAAAGACAUCAAUUCGCUUGCCUCCUACUUGAACCCGGUGACUCUGGCCACCUGGGACAGAGCUGAGAUUUCUCUUCACAGGGAAUGAUGGCAGUUGAAUAUGGAGUGAUAUCACCCAGGCUACACGGGGAGGGGUUGUUCCAUCUUUUAAGAAAGACUCCGCCCCAGGGCUGUCUCUCCCCAAUAUUCCCUGGCAUCUCCCCUACUCCAUUUUUUUUUUUUUUUGGACCCAGGGUAGAAAGCCAGCUGAUAUCAACCUCCACGGAUGGCCUUAGCCUAUCUCAGGCUCUAUUUCUGUACCUUUUAAGAAAGGGGCUCGUGAAGCCCAGGCUAGCCUCGGAACUCCCUAUACAGCUAAGCAUGACCUCAAAUUCCUGACUUCUUUGCUCCCAUCUCCUGAGAGCCGGGACCACAGGUGUGAGCCACUGCCUCUGGUUUAUGUGGUGCUAGGGAUGGAAUACGGAACUCCGAGCACGCUAGAGGAGUACUGUAUUAGCCAAGCCAAAUCUUCUUGUAGAUCUCACUCUAUAGCUUAGGCUGCCCCUCCAACUUGAUAGCAUGGUCCAUCAGGUGUGGCUUUUCAUGCCUGGCUUCAGCCUAUUUGUAAAGACGAACAGUUUCUUUAUGUUGAAGGAGUGUAACCAUCUGGGGAGGAGGGUGCACAGAUGUCAGGAGACACAUCUGGGGCGGGAGGGUCAGGUGACACUGCUCUUAACUACUGGCUUGCGGCCACUGCAGGGUCCUUCUGCUGCUACCCACAACCCUCAGUCUUGUCUGAGCCCAGGAACUCUUGUCCUACAGUGGGCUUCGAGCCCCAGCAGAGGCUCUUCCCUCCCAUUCAGCCUCGGACCACAGCCCUGUCCCGCCGCCCGCCCUGCAGCUCCAGUCCCCAGUUCAAGUUCAGGUUCCCACGACAAUGAGGUCUCUUACGGAAACCAGACCCCAGCAGAUGGUUCACAGGCUCACACAUCUUUCCCCACAGCCGGAUGCACCUUCCGUCUGGGAGCAGUCUCCUUCCUCCCCCAUAACCUAAUGUGCCUGGUCAGGACACAUAUCAGAUGGCCAAAACGAUAACUUGAGGCUCAGUGUAGCCUCUGAUACCCGCCAUGCCCUGUUUGUCAGGAGAUGGGCACUUUCCCCAGCUCACUCCCUGGCCUGUAUUCCACCUUGGCAAUCCCUCGUACAGGCAUGGACUCGCACAUGCUCACACACACCUGGGCACCAACACACACAGUGACAUCCUACACCUGGGCCCCAGAUUUCUUCAGGAUUUUUUUUUUUUUUGAGAUAGCCUGAUGUAGCCCAAAUGGCCUCGAACUCACUACGCAGCCAACGAUGCCUUGAAUUCCUGAUCAUCCGAUGACCAUUACACAGGUAUGCGUCACCACGCCCACCUAGUUUGCUCAGAGGCUCAAGAAUGUUUAGCAUGCCCUCCAUCAACGGAGACAUCCUCCCUCAACUCUCUUAGUUGUUCUUGAGAUGGGGUCUGGUUGGCUUUAAACUUACAUGCUGGGGCUCACAGGUGUGAUCCCAUCAGACAACUUCACAGUUGCCUCCCUCCACCACCAUCUGUCUAGGAAUGGACUUGUGAACAGACCUUCAAACCUUUCCAGACACUCUUCUUUCAGGAACAUCCUUGGCCAGAAGCUCACAUUGACACCUUGCAACAUGAUCUGAAACACACACACACACACACACACACACACACACACACACACACACACGGAAUCCCACCAUCUCCAAGCAAAGACAAACCAAGAUUGUCUCUCCACAGGCUGGGUCCCGAAGGUUGUGGAUAGCGUGGGACCAGCGAGGGGCAGCAUGGGACCGGCGAGGGGCCCCUUACCUCCAGGCUGCGCGGGAUGGAGGAGGUUGAGCAAGAGGAUCAGCAAGACGCCAGGCUGCGGGACUGCCGCUGUCAGACCCGCCAUCUCGGGGAGGACUGCCCCAGCCUGCUCUCUGCGCCUCGUUUUAUCCCCAAAGCGUAAUUGCUGCCUGAGGCUCCGUGGACCUGCGAAGGGUGCAUGGCUCCAGAUUCUCUGCACUGCUCACCCAUGCACGUUAACGCAGCACCUGCACUGAGAAGGCAAAGUGAGUCGCUACCAUGGCUGGCAGAUGGAAGGACCCACCAGUUUCGCUGUGUUGAACAGAGUACCAAUGAGAACUCAGGAAAUGCAGGUGGAGAAUGCCACAGUAUCACUGCCAGAAGCCACCGACUGUGGAGAGCUAUACUCCAGCCUCUUUUCCACAAUUUCUUAAAAACAAACAAACAACAACCAAACUUA